GUUUUCAUGAAACAAAAUUUUGCUGCUAGUGAAUCAGAGAUAACAAGGUUCUUCGAAAGAAGUUACUCACCCGCAGGCUGCAUGCAGUUUACUGGCAAAUUAUUGAGUACCUUAAUCUGAAUGGAAGCCUAAGUGUAUAAAAGAUAAUACGCUAAUUAUGUGGUCCGUGGAACAGCAAAAUGAAUUCAGACGCGGAAGUUGUGUUAGAACCAGCAAU